rnacentral:rRNA from 1 species
AGAGUUUGAUCAUGGCUCAGGAUGAACGCUAGCGGCAGGCUUAAUACAUGCAAGUCGAGGGGCAGCAUGACUGUAGCAAUACAGUUGAUGGCGACCGGCAAACGGGUGCGGAACACGUACAGAACCUUCCUUCGAGCGGGGAAUAGCCCAGAGAAAUUUGGAUUAAUACCCCAUAGUAUGAUGAAGAGGCAUCUCUUUAUUAUUAAAGAUUUAUCACUUGAAGAUGGCUGUGCGUCUGAUUAGGUAGUUGGCGGGGUAACGGCCCACCAAGCCUUCGAUCAGUAACUGGUGUGAGAGCACGGCCAGUCACACGGGCACUGAGACACGGGCCCGACUCCUACGGGAGGCAGCAGUAAGGAAUAUUGGUCAAUGGACGAAAGUCUGAACCAGCCAUGCCGCGUGGAGGAUGAAGGCCCUCUGGGUUGUAAACUUCUUUUAUAUGGGACGAAAAAGGGCCUUUCCAGGCCAACUGACGGUACCAUUUGAAUAAGCACCGGCUAACUCCGUGCCAGCAGCCGCGGUAAUACGGAGGGUGCAAGCGUUAUCCGGAUUCACUGGGUUUAAAGGGAGCGUAGGUGGAUUAGUAAGUCAGUGGUGAAAUCUCCGGGCUUAACCCGGAAACUGCCAUUGAUACUAUUAGUCUUGAAUACCGUGGAGGUCAGUGGAAUAUGUCAUGUAGCGGUGAAAUGCUUAGAUAUGACAUAGAACACCAAUUGCGAAGGCAGCUGGCUACACGAAUAUUGACACUCAGGCUCGAAAGCGUGGGGAUCAAACAGGAUUAGAUACCCUAGUAGUCC